UACAGAGGUCUCAAGCGUUGUUCGGAUUCAUUGGGCGUAAAGGGUGCGUAGGUGGCGGGGUAAGUUGGAUGUGAAAUCCCGGGGCUCAACCCCGGAACUGCAUUCAAUACUGCCUUGCUAGAGUACUGGAGAGGAGAUUGGAAUUUACGGUGUAGCAGUGAAAUGCGUAGAUAUCGUAAGGAAGACCAGUGGUGAAGGCGGAUCUCUGGACAGUUACUGACACU
rnacentral:rRNA from 1 species